UUUAAUCAGACGCCCUAGGGAAGACCAGGGAUUGGUACACUUUUUGCUUCAGCACCUGCAACUCACUGAAUUUUUGAGCUAGAUUUCUCAAGUUUUAUAAUAAGUAAUCAAAUUUGUUUACUACAAAUGGCACCAAUUCAAACAUCUGCAAGGAUAUCACAGACCUCCUGAGAUGACAUCAAAUACAUGGUGUUCCAGCACAUGCUGGGGACACAAGGAGCUUGAGGCCAGCUUGGAAAGGCAACUGAUGAAAUCUGCAAGUGACUGGUCCACAAGACAGCAGCCAUCGUGGUGGAGAAGAGAAUGAAAAUCCUGGAGGGAAAGUAUAUACAAAGAUGCUUUGGGCAGAGAGAGGAGCUGGGAAAAUGAGGUUGAGUGAGGAAGAAACAAAGAGAGUGUGAGAGAAAGACAGUGAAAGAAGAAAGACAGAAGAUGCAAACCCCUGUGGUUCAUGUAGUAGACCACUGUAAUUGGACUGAUGAAGUCAAAAUAAAAUGUAAAGUUCA